GGAGGGUGCGAGCGUUGUUCGGAAUUAUUGGGCGUAAAGGGCGUGCAGGCGGCUGGGUAAGUCUGAUGUGAAAGCCCGGGGCUCAACCCCGGAAGAGCAUUGGAAACUGCCUAGCUUGAGUACCGGAGAGGAUGGGGGAAUUCCCGGUGUAGAGGUGAAAUUCGUAGAGAUCGGGAGGAAUACCAGUGGCGAAGGCGCCCAUCUGGACGGAUACUGACGCUGAGACGCGAAAGCGUGGGGAGCAAACAGGAUUAGAUACCCUGGUAGUCCACGCCGUAAACGAUGGGCACUAGGUGUAGGAGGUAUUGACCCCUUCUGUGCCGAAGCUAACGCAUUAAGUGCCCCGCCUGGGGAGUACGGCCGCAAGGCUA
rnacentral:rRNA from 1 species